AUAGUUAUUGAUUAGAAUAAUUCAUUAAAAUCCAACAUUGAUGUUGUUUACCAGAAUUAAUUUUGUUAUUUGCAGUUUCUCUCUGCAAAAUACAACCUUUUUUUUUCUCUUUUUGUUUUCAAGAGAUUUUUUUAGCUCUCACCAGGCCUUUACUUUUAAAAUAGAUUUUUCAGUGACACAGUUAUGUACAUUUAUACCAGACUUUGCAUUAAGAUCAAAUUAUUUAUACAUCUGAGUAUAAUGAUAAUUUGUCGUAUAUCAGUCUUUAUUCAACCAGCAAUUCUCUUAAAACACAUUUGUAACACUUAAUAAUCUACUAUAACUGAAAGCAGAUAUAAGUAACUUAUUAAUAAUAAGUUACUUAUAUCUGAUAUAACUGAUAUAACUCCUCCUGUGGGCUCCUAUAAGUGGACGUAUAAAGACAAUACAGUUAAACACCGGUAUAAAAAUAUAAAAUAUAUCUUUAUAGGGGACAUUAUAAAUGUUGACAAAUACUGUAUAGUGUUAAACACAGUGUCCUUAUGUCAUUAUACACCAUGUAUUAAAUGUUUAUAUACUGCUAAUAAAUGGUAAGUGUGAGCAAAGGCUGAUCUACAACAAAAAAUUGUCCAAAUGAUUUGAUCUUCCACUUAAUGCAAAGUCUGGUAUAAAUGCACAUCAUUUAUUACAACAAGACAGCUGCAGGCAGAGUGCACAGUGUCUUCUUGUAAUACAUACUCUUUCUGAUUAAUUAUUUACUUGACCAAAGUGGAAACACACGGCCUCAGGGAAAAGAAAAAAAAAAAAAUCCUUCAUUAUAUCACUGAUUUCUCACCUGUGUGUGUGUGUGUGUCCGUAGAAAUGUGCAGAAAUCUCAGUUGCAGUGUCGGCAGGUCAUCGGUGUCCAGGAGCCCAGGAGGCAUGGACAACCCACCGUCCCCUACACCGUGGAAAAGACCUUGAUAUCGCUGGCUGCUCUGCUAUUGAAUUCAGCCUGAUUGGGCCACAAAAGGAAUUGACCAAUCUGCUGCUGCAGGGCAAGG